GUUUCUGUGGUUUAGUGUUUAUCACUACCGCCUAACACGCGGAAGGUCCCAGGUUCGAGCCCUGACAGAAGCA
rnacentral:tRNA from 1 species